AACUAACGCUGGCGGCGUGCCUAACACAUGCAAGUCGAGGGGUAAAUGGUAGCAAUACUAUGAGACCGGCGGACGGGUGCGUAACGCGUAUGCAACAUACCUUGUGCAGGGGGAUAGCCCGUGGAAACGCGGAUUAAUAUUCCAUAGUCCAGCUAUAUCGCAUGGUAUAGUUGGUAAAGAUUUAUCGGCACAAGUUUGGCAUGCGUCUGAUUAGCUUGUUGGUAGGGUAACGGCCUACCAAGGCUACGAUCAGUAGGGGUUCUGAGAGGAUUAACCCCCACACUGGUACUGAGACACGGACCAGACUCCUACGGGAGGCAGCAGUGAGGAAUAUUGGUCAAUGGGCGGAAGCCUGAACCAGCCAUCCCGCGUGAAGGAAGACAGCCUUACGGGUUGUAAACUUCUUUUCUGUCAGAAGAAUAAGCUUGUCGAGACGAGUGAUGCCGGUAUGACAGGAAUAAGCAUCGGCUAACUCCGUGCCAGCAGCCGCGGUAAAACG
rnacentral:rRNA from 1 species